UCUCGCUGCAAGAUUUGGGGAGAAUACGACGAGUCUCAGUGGUUUUCAAGGAGCAGCUGCAUUGGAACUUCGACAGCUGCAGUUUUUUUAUACUCACUGCAGAUGAAAAAUUCUUCAGAAUGGUUCACAGUAUGUUGAGGAGGUCGUCAGAAGAAUAAAGUUAGCGAAGCGAUGAAAAAAAAAUGAACGAGAACAAGUCGGGGUUACCAACACAAUAGUCGUAGUUAUGACAACGAAACAAACUUGUAAAAGCUCUGAGCGAAGAUUAAAAUGAAGAAAAAACACACGAAAGAAAGAAAAAAAUUGAAAGAAUGACAAGUUAAAGUUGGAACGGAGAAGUGAAAUAGAACGCCAUAUUUUUAUCAAAUCAACUUCAAAGUUUGUAGAAAAACAUUAGAAGCGAAACAAGCCUUACUCAAAAAUGCCUGAUGUGGUGUGACUUUGGGAUUUAAAUAUUUUGGAAGUGAAAAAAUAAAUUCCUGUAGAAAAGGUUUCUGCUGUACUUGGCUGUAAAGAAAGCUUGAUGCAGAAUGAAAAAGAGAUGACAAACGCAGAGAAACAAGAAACGCUGAAAUCUCACAGAGCAAAACUAUUUUAGGAUUACAUUCUGAAGGCGGGCAAGUGGAUAAAAAAUGAUCUUGAAAACGAAUACUCAAUGCAGGAAGUCUAAGACGGAAAAAGUCUAAGAAAAAAGAUUUUAUUUAAAAGCGAGGUUUGAAACGAUUUAAAUACGGACGGAAUUGGGUUGGGAGUUUUAAUGUGUUGAAAUUUGAAGAUACAUAAGGUGUUAUUAACUUACCGAAGUUUUUAAAUAGAAGUAUAAUCAGCCACUACUUGCUCUACCACACCAAAGCUGUCGAUAAAAUCAUUUUCUGUCAGUCCAUACUUUUCAUACUGAUGAAUAUACGCACGUGCGUUAAACAUACUCCACGCCUUUCUAAUGCAGUCAUUCAUUGGACGAAUAAAAGUUUGACUGUUCGAGACCAACGCUGCAGAUUUCUCGUAACGAUUGAAUGGGCGAGUCUGUCGCCAUUCGUGAUAACAAAAUGGCGGAGGAAUGACGCUUGCAUAUCUGAAAAUCAUAAGUGUUUAGCUUUUCGAAAACAUAUACAAAGAAGCGUGGUAUACAAGAGGUGACAAGAAGCGGUCAAGCGUGUUAAAAUUGUUUACAAGCGUAAAACACUGUUACUUUUUAUAAAAAGUUUCAAAAUUGUAGCUUAUGUUAAAUCAAGAUUACUCGCUAUAACUAGUUA